rnacentral:rRNA from 1 species
AUUGAACGCUGGCGGCAGGCUUAACACAUGCAAGUCGAGCGGAGAUGAGGUGCUUGCACCUUAUCUUAGCGGCGGACGGGUGAGUAAUGCUUAGGAAUCUGCCUAUUAGUGGGGGACAACAUUCCGAAAGGAAUGCUAAUACCGCAUACGCCCUACGGGGGAAAGCAGGGGAUCUUCGGACCUUGCGCUAAUAGAUGAGCCUAUGUCGGAUUAGCUAGUUGGUGGGGUAAAGGCCUACCAAGGCGACGAUCUGUAGCGGGUCUGAGAGGAUGAUCCGCCACACUGGGACUGAGACACGGCCCAGACUCCUACGGGAGGCAGCAGUGGGGAAUAUUGGACAAUGGGCGGAAGCCUGAUCCAGCCAUGCCGCGUGUGUGAAGAAGGCCUUUUGGUUGUAAAGCACUUUAAGCGAGGAGGAGGCUACUGGUACUAAUACUACUGGAUAGUGGACGUUACUCGCAGAAUAAGCACCGGCUAACUCUGUGCCAGCAGCCGCGGUAACAC